AUCAGAGGCACCGAGGUCGGCCAGAAUGUGCUUGAGAAGAGCCAGCAGAGACUCAUCACGAAGGUCUAUGCUGAGGAGAUGGUGUUUGAGCCAAUCUCUUGAUAAUGCCAUGCUUGUGAUCCAAGCAGCAGGAUCCUGAUGGUCCCUAAAGGAGAGAUGAUAGAAGCACCUGGCCCAGUGAAGAACACGCAAUAAAUAUAAUUAAAGAAGCA
rnacentral:lncRNA from 1 species